AGCCAGCGGAUGUUUUAUUUGGUA
rnacentral:miRNA from 1 species